AAUCAACGCUGGCGGCGUGCCUCAGACAUGCAAGUCGAACGCGAAAUUUCCCUUCGGGGAGAAAGUAGAGUGGCGCACGGGUGAGUAACACGUAGGUAAUUUGCCUUUGGGUGGGGAAUAACUCAGGGAAACUUGAGCUAAUACCGCAUAAUGCAGCGGCUCGACAUCGAGACAGUUGUUAAAGCGGGGGAUCGCAAGACCUCGCGCCUAAAGAGAAGCCUGCGGCAGAUUAGCUAGUUGGUAAGGUAAUGGCUUACCAAGGCGACGAUCUGUAACCGGCCUGAGAGGGCGGUCGGUCACACUGACACUGACAUACGGGUCAGACUCCUACGGGAGGCAGCAGUCGGGAAUUUUGGGCAAUGGGCGAAAGCCUGACCCAGCAACGCCGCGUGAAGGAUGAAAUUUUCGGAAUGUAAACUUCGCAAGAACAGAAGAAUAAGUAGAGCGAAUACCUUCUAUGAUGACGGUACUGUUUGUAAGCUCCGGCUAACUCCGUGCCAGCA
rnacentral:rRNA from 1 species